UUCAGGACAAGUCUCUUACUGUGUAGUUAUAGCAUUUACCAUUGUAAUUUUUAAUUACAGGCUCUCGUAUUAACUGGAGCCACAUGAUAUUAUCUUGGUGGAAGUGAAUAACAACAGUGCUGUUGGAAAUCUGUAAGGCUAUAUGCCACCAUCUGAAAGUACUGAGCUGUAAUUCAUUUUACAGCAAGAAGCAAUUCCUCACCAAUCCACUGCUUUUCAGAAAAAGCCUACAGGUGAAAAACCAAGCCUAUGGCACAGCUGCACCCGGAUGCAGCACAGCUGUCAGCCAGGGAAGAAAAUCAAUGGUAAACUUAUACCCUGGACUAUCAUCAGUGGGAAUUAGAGAAAGUCAUAAUCUCGGAGAGAAGAAAAGCUGCUAGGCAUUUUAAGAGAUCAUCAAGGCCAUUCCCUCCAGUAAAACACCAACAACAUCAGAGCUGUGACUUCUGUAUUCAGACAAUAUUUAUUAUCAAAAACAUUUGUUUUUUCUAAUUUCAGUACCAUUGUGGUAAAAAUGUAAAGAUGGAAAAAAGUGAAUAAACUUAAUUUUUUGCCCUGAAAUAUAUAUUUC
rnacentral:lncRNA from 1 species